UGGCCGGCCAAACCAAGAGCAAAGAAGAACAAAGGGAGAAAAAAAAACAAAAACCCUAGGUGGAGAAAUUCAAAGGAAAUUUGGUGAAAAUUCAAGGANGGAAACAAGUGACAAAAGGUAAAUUUCUUGAUUUUGACUUGUGAUCUACCUUUCCCAUGCAUUUCUCCUCAUUUUCCAUGGUUAAAUUACAUGUUUUCAUGAUGAAUUCAUGGCUGGUUAGAACGGGUAUGGAGAGAGAAUGAUGUUAGAUUGAUUUGAUUCUAAGUUAUGUUAGUGUUUUUAGUUAGUUAAGCAUGUUUAGAAACAAAACAACAAGAAAAGAAUCCAUUUUCCCCAUGAACCUUCAAUGGUCGAACCCUAUGUGAAGUGUAGAAGUAAUGAAUUGAUUUUGUGAUCAAGUGAAUUGGUUGAAAAAUUGAUGAAAUGAUGAUUUAUGGUGAGAAAAUGGAAUGGGAAAAUUUUUAGUGAUAGUGCACCACAAUGGCCGAAAUUUUCAAGAAGGAUUGUGAGGGUUGUUAGGCUAAAUUCUAGAUUAUUGGAAUUGUAUUUAGUGACUUGAAAUAUUAGAAAUGAAAUGGGGCAAUUUGGAGCCAAAACGGACAGAAUUAUCAUUUAAUCGGGUAAUAGGCCGAAUUAGGUCAACACUGCAUUUAAGCGGUAGUCGGAUAAGUUGCAUAUCAUAUCAUGCAUAUACACCGAGCCUGAAUUUAUUUUAUAAUGGUCAAGCAUUAAUGUGGUGAAUUAUGUAUUGUACAUUGUGGAUAGGUGGUGAGCAAAUUACACUGGUAAAACUACAGAGAUUGUGCUUGAAGACUGGGAACUUCCUUCCAUACAAAGCCUCGUAUGGUGCCAUCCCAAUACUAUAUUGAAAACUGUUAUUAUACGCGAACUCUACCAAUGGCAAGUGUUUGUCCCAACUCCCAAUAAAGUCAAUGACACAAGCUCUUAACAUAUCCUGUAAAGUCUGAAUAAUUCUCUCAGAUUGACCAUCUAUUUACGAAUGAAAGGCAGUACUAAAUCUUAAUUUAGUUUCGAGAGCUUCCUGAAAUUUUGGCCAAAAUCAAGAAGUAAACUGAGGGUCUCGAUCUGACACAAUAGAAACUGGAACUCCGUGUAAUCUCACAAUCUCAUCUAUAUAAAGUUUUGCCAGUUUCUCAAUAGAAUACGUGCUAUGGAUAGCCAAAAAA
rnacentral:lncRNA from 1 species